GAUGAACGCUGGCGGCGUGCCUAACACAUGCAAGUCGAGCGAACAGACGAGGCGCUUGCUCCUCUGUCGUUAGCGGCGGACGGGUGAGUAACACGUGGAUAACCCCCCUAUAAGACUGGGAUCACUUCGGGAAACCGGCGCUAAUACCGGAUAAUAUAUUGAUCCGCAUUGUUCAAUAGUGAAAUACGGCUUUUCUGUCACUUAUAGAUGGAUCCGCGCCGCAUUAGCUAGUUGUUAGGGUAACGGGCUACCAAGGCAACGAUGCGUAGACGACCUGAGAGGGUGGUCGGCCACACGGGAGCUGGAACGCGGUCCAGGCUACUGCGAGAGGCAGCAGUAGGGAAUCUUAGGCAAUGGGCGAGAGCCUGACGGAGCAGCGCCGCGUGAGUGAUGAAGGUGUUCGGAGCGUGAAACUGUGUUAUGAGGGAAGAACAAAUGUGUAAGUAACUAUGCACGUCGUGACGGUACCUAAUCAGAAAGCCACGGCUAACUACGUG
rnacentral:rRNA from 1 species